GACGAACGCUGGCGGCGUGCCUAAUACAUGCAAGUUGAGCGCUGAAGGUUGGUACUUGUACCAACUGGAUGAGCAGCGAACGGGUGAGUAACGCGUGGGGAAUCUGCCUUUGAGCGGGGGACAACAUUUGGAAACGAAUGCUAAUACCGCAUAAAAACUUUAAACACAAGUUUUAAGUUUGAAAGAUGCAAUUGCAUCACUCAAAGAUGAUCCCGCGUUGUAUUAGCUAGUUGGUGAGGUAAAGGCUCACCAAGGCGAUGAUACAUAGCCGACCUGAGAGGGUGGUCGGCCACAUUGGGACUGAGACACGGCCCAAACUCCUACGGGAGGCAGCAGUAGGGAAUCUUCGGCAAUGGACGAAAGUCUGAACGAGCAACGCCGCGUGAGUGGAGAAGGUUUUCGGAUCGUAAAACUCUGUUGGUAGAGAAGAACGUUGGUGAGAGUGGAAAGCUCAUCAAGUGACGGUAACUACCCAGAAAGGGACGGCUAACUACGUG
rnacentral:rRNA from 1 species